rnacentral:rRNA from 1 species
AUUGAACGCUGGCGGCAUGCUUUACACAUGCAAGUCGAACGGCAGCGCGGGGGCAACCCUGGCGGCGAGUGGCGAACGGGUGAGUAAUAUAUCGGAACGUACCCAGAAGUGGGGGAUAACGUAGCGAAAGUUACGCUAAUACCGCAUACGAUCUACGGAUGAAAGCGGGGGAUCGCAAGACCUCGCGCGAAUGGAGCGGCCGAUGGCAGAUUAGGUAGUUGGUGGGGUAAAGGCUCACCAAGCCGACGAUCUGUAGCUGGUCUGAGAGGACGACCAGCCACACUGGGACUGAGACACGGCCCAGACUCCUACGGGAGGCAGCAGUGGGGAAUAUUGGACAAUGGGCGAAAGCCUGAUCCAGCAAUGCCGCGUGAGUGAUGAGGGCCUUAGGGUUGUAAAGCUCUUUUACUGGGGAUGAUAAUGACAGUACCCAGAGAAUAAGCUCCGGCUAAAUCCGUGCCAGCAGCCGCGGUAAU